GUGCUCACUUCGGCAGCAUGUAUACUAAAACUAGAAUGAUUCAGAUAAGAUUAGCAUGGCCCCUAAGCAAGGAUGACAUGCAAAUUUGUGAAGCAUUCCAUAUUUUU